rnacentral:rRNA from 1 species
GUGAGUCAUCGAAUCUUUGAACGCACCUUGCACCCUUUGGUAUUCCGAAGGGUACACCCGUUUGAGUGUCAUUGUAAUCUCACCCUCUUCGACUUUUUUGUCGACCAGUAUGGACUUGGAUGUUGUUGUGUGACAAACGACUCAUCUUAAAUGCCUGAGUGUACCCUGCUUUGCGGCGUAUUCGGUGUUAUAAAUCUUUCACCUGGAGUUUUGACCCUUUGGGUUGGUCGCUUGUAUUGUUUGGUCUCUAUGCAUCGAACCGUCCCCUGACAAGGACAAAUACCUCUGACAAUUUGACCUCAAAUCGGGUGGGACUACCCGCUGAACUUAAGCAUAUCAAUAAGCGGAGG